AUUGAACGCUGGCGGCAUGCUUUACACAUGCAAGUCGAGCGGUAACAGGCCGCUAGCUCCUGACUUGUGCCGAAGACGUGUGUAAUAUGCCUAAACGUCUCCCUGCUUGUGGGGUAUCUCGUCCGAAAAGUAGCUCUUACCCCAUACACGCUCUGAGUGAGAACGUGGGGCCUCAUGGCCUCUCGCGCUUUCAGCUGCCCCUAUGUCUGAUUAUCUAGUUGGUGGGGUAAAGGCCUACCAAGCCAACGAUCCGUAGCUGGUCUGAGAGGAUGAACAGCCACACUGGGACUGAGACACGGCCCAGACUCCUACGGGAGGCAGCAGUGGGGAAUUUUGGACAAUGGGCGAAAGCCUGAUCCAGCAAUGCCGCGUGUGGGAAGAAGGCCUUCGGAUUGUAAACUACUUUUGUACGGAACGAAACGGAGUUAGUUAAUACCCGGGGGUAUUGACGGUACCAAAAGAAUAAGCACCGGCUAACUACGUG
rnacentral:rRNA from 1 species